rnacentral:rRNA from 1 species
UACGGGGGGGGCAAGCGUUGUUCGGAAUUACUGGGCGUAAAGGGCGCGUAGGCGGUGCUCUAAGUCCGACGUGAAAUCCCCAGGCUUAACCUGGGAACUGCGUCGGAUACUGGAUGGCUUGAAUCCGGGAGAGGGAUGCGGAAUUCCAGGUGUAGCGGUGAAAUGCGUAGAUAUCUGGAGGAAUACCGGUGGCGAAGGCGGCAUCCUGGACCGACAUUGACGCUGAACGGCGAAAGCUAGGGGAGCAAACGGG